GUGCCAGCAGCCGCGGUAAGACGGAAGGUGCAAGCGUUGCUCGGAAUCACUGGGCGUAAAGGGUGCGUAGGCGGCUUGGUAGGUCUGGUGUGAAAGCCCCGGGCUCAGCCCGGGAAGGGCACUAGAAACUGCCAAGCUAGAGUGCCGGAGGGGAGAGUGGAAUUCCUGGUGUAGCGGUGAAAUGCGUAGAUAUCAGGAGGAAUACCGGUGGCGAAAGCGACUCUCUGGACGGCAACUGACGCUGAGGCACGAAAGCGUGGGGAGCAAACAGGAUUAGAUACCCUGGUAGUCC
rnacentral:rRNA from 1 species